UUUUUAAAAAAAAGUAAAAAUUUGAAGCUAAACCCAAGGAGAGUCGCUGUCACGUUCACUUUGUAUUGGAGGAGGGGGAGAGGUGGAAGAAGAAGAGGAAGGAAAGGAGAUUGGAAAAGGAUUGGGAGUGGGUCCUUCACCAGCUUUUUUUUUUUUUUUUUUUUUCUAUGUUCUUCUUUUUUGGGGGGCAUUUGACUUUUAAUGCCCCAUUGUUGCUUCUUGUUGCAGGGAUGCUGCAUUUGGAGACACCAACCUUAUAGCAUUUAAUUCAGGCUAUUUUAUGAUCUGGGUUCUUUUUCUUCUUUUUCUUAAGCCAUUUUAGUAGAUAUUUUUGCUUGAAAAGAGAGAAAAAUUGGAUUUUUAGGGGUGUUAUGCAGUAAAAGUUCAAGCUUUUUUUUUAUUUUUUCAUGUUGGUUGGGUGAAAAAUUGCAGCUUUUUGGUGUUUAGAUUUGUGGAUGAGUUGGUAAUGUUUGGAGAUUAGGGCAAAUUUGAUCAUUGUGCACCAAGCUCUGAGUGGACUACACAUUGUUGCUACUUUUGAUGUCAAUUGAUUUCUUAGCAAGAAGUUGACAAAGAUUGAAGCUUCUGCUUCUGCUUCUGAGAUCUUCAGAAGAUCUUCAGAAGAUCUUCAGAAAUUUGCUGUUUUGCUCCUUCAAGUUUGUGAAUUUGAGCUGUUGGAAGCAGGAAAAAAAUGGCAGGUUAUGGCUACACAGACCCAUCACUUCCAGAAGACUCACCCCCCUACUCUUCUUCUACUUACUUUCCACCUCCUCCACAAACUUCUUCUUCUUCUUCUUCUCCUUCACCACCUCCUCCUCAUUCCCAUCACAAUGCAAAGCACUUCUCUCCGCCGCCGCCGCCGCAGCUUGCGAAUUCCUCUUCACCUCCACCUUUAGCCUCUUCACCCCUCCCUUACAAUAGCCCUCCUCCUCCUCCCUCUUUUCCACCACCACCACCUCAAAAUUACUCACCCCCACCCCCACCUCCUCCUCCUACAUUGUCUCCUCCACCUCCCGCCCUCGCCCCUUCGGCUUCCCCGCCGCCGUCCCCCUCUUAUACUUCGGCUCCGCCUCCCUAUUCGAACGAACCGCGCAUAUAUCCGUCCCCUCCGCCGCCAUUCGCUAUACCUCCGCCGCCAAUUUCCCCGUCUCCCUCUCCUUCCGAGGCUCCCUAUUCCCCUAUUAGUCCUUCGGUGCCGCCGCCUUCGGUGCCCCCUCCUCCCAGGCAUAGUAGUCCGCCGAGGCCCGCCAAUAAACCGCAAACUCCGCAUCGCCCAAUCCCCCCAAAGUCGAUCAAUUCUAGCGCGAUUUCGACUGUAGGGAUUGGAAACAAUGAUUCGGCGAAGAACAUUGUAAUAUCUCGCGAAACCGCGGCCACCGUUGCCGUUAUAACGGGCCUCGUGAUGCUUAGUUUUAUCGGCGCAGCUGUGUGGCUCGUGAAGCAACGGCGGCGGCUGGAAGCUCCUGUUGUAUAUGCUGCAAAUUUCGUGCCUUCGCCUUCGCAAGUUUCAGGUAAUUGAUUUCCGAGACUUGUCUCAUUUUUAGAUUCUACGUCGUUAUUUGUUACCUGAUCGAUUGAUCUAUCUCAUUUUUAGAUUCUACGUCAUUAUUUGUUACCUGAUCGAUUGAUCUAUUAUGAAAUGAUCCUUGAAAAGUAUGGAGAUUCAGCGAGUUGGAUGCUUGAGGUGGGGAUUAGAUUCAUGGCCUUAUUGAAAUGAUAACAUCUUAUUCAAAAGAUUGAUCCGUCAGGAAAUGGUUUAGGAAGUAGCAAAAUCGUUGGUAUUUGACCCACUCAAGCCGAUACCGCUGCUCUCAUUUUCAUUUAGAUUAAAGAGGAGCACUUUGAAGCAUAGCUUGCAUUGACUAUUGAAGUAACUUGGAUUAUUUUGGUUUUGUUCAUCAGAUACAACAUAUCAAAGAUCGCCGUUGUAUCCUUUCAUGAAACACAGCUCGGGAAGUUACGGAUUUCCUUACUCGCCAUCAGAUGCAGGGUUAGGCCUUUCGAAGCUGUGGUUUACAUUCGAAGAGCUAUCGAUGAUCACAAACGGCUUCUCAAGGCAGAAUCUUUUGGGUGAAGGUGGAUUUGGUUCCGUGUAUAAAGGAUGCUUUCCCGAUGGCAGAGAAGUGGCCGUGAAAAAGCUAAAAGCUGAAGGUGGACACGGCGAGCGUGAAUUUAAGGCCGAAGUUGACACUAUCAGCCGGAUUCAUCAUCGGCAUCUUGUUUCGCUAUUAGGCUACUGCUCAUCAGAAAACGAAAGGAUGCUCAUCUACGAUUAUGUUCCUAAUAAUACACUUUAUUAUCAUCUUCAUGGUGAGUUAUCUAUUUUGCUGAUAAACUUUUAUUUGCUUAUGUUCAUUUUCAGAAUCUUUCAUUGUAAUUUCCAAUUUUGUUGAUAUUGCAGGAAAAGGAACACCGGUUAUGGAUUGGCCGACAAGGGUUAAGAUCGCUGCUGGUGCAGCUCGUGGAAUUGCAUACCUCCAUGAAGAUUGUAAUAUAUGUCCUCUCUUUCGCUUUAUCGGGUUAGUUGUUCAUGAAAACACGAACUUAGUUUGUGCGCCUUUUUUCGUUAUUUCUCAGGCCAUCCUCGGAUUAUUCAUAGAGAUAUAAAGUCCUCCAACAUUUUACUCGAUAAUGACUUCGAAGCUCAGGUUAUCUUUGACCUCUGAACUGUCGAUAACAACAGAUAGUCUUGUCGAUCACCUUUAUUUUUCUGAUCUUUUCACAAAGAUUAUUGUUAACUUAAUAGUUACGUGUUAGGUUUCGGAUUUUGGACUCGCAAGGUUAGCCAUGGAUCCCAACGCGCAUGUGACUACACGUGUAAUGGGAACAUUUGGGUAGGUAAAACUGCACCUUAACAUAAACUAAGCGAAACCAGCAUGUUAUCUUGUUUGCUGCUUAAGACCCACAUGAUUUCUGGGUUGCUUUUUACCUCGCGAAAACUGAUGCUUUAGUCUCUUUCCAGGUAUUUGGCUCCGGAAUAUGCAUCUUCCGGCAAGUUGACUGCUAAAUCAGAUGUUUAUUCAUUUGGGGUUGUUCUCUUAGAGCUUAUUACCGGCCGAAAGCCUGUCGAUACAUCUCAACCUUUGGGAGACGAGAGCCUCGUUGAAUGGGUGAGCCCUCAUGGCGUCGAUUCAUGUCUCAGUUUAUCUUUUUUUUGCAUUAUAAGUUUACUCAGUAGCUAAGGAAAGUUAAUGAAACAUUAUGUUGUGGCACGGCAUGGUUCAACUGCAUGUUACUUCUUUUCGUCCUAUUUAACCUUUCUAUGUUAUAUCCAUGAACAUCCAUGAAUGAUUGUUUAUACGUCGAAAGAGUAAAAGUGUUUUAUGUUUGAGGUAAAAUAAUACUUGUCAUACAUAUAUAUAUAGGUUGAAACAAUCCUAAUCCUAAUAAAAAAAAUGAUUAGAUUCGAGUUCAUACAAUCCUAAUAGGACUCGUAUUAAUCAUUAAUUUUCUCGGGUCAAUAAUUAUAAUAUACAAUAAGCCCAUUUAAAAAUGUGAGUGGGUGAGCCCUUACGAAAGCCCAAACAAAUUUAAAAAAAAAAAAAAGAAAAUUCCAGGGGAAGGUGGCGGGGCCGCGCUCUGGGGAAGAUUAAGGUUCUAGGUGGUAGGGAUGUCGCGUGGCCUUCAUUUUCACGGCCCCAUAGCUAAUCAUUUGAAACCCAACUAGUAAUUUAAGGAGGGUCUGAUCUAAUACGUACGGGCACACCCACAUCCUUAUAAAGUUACUAGGGUUGGGAAAUCCUGAUUUAAAUCAUAUAUCCAUCAAGAGCAUGGUUCAUAUUUCGGUCGGAUAAUUUUGAUAUCCCAGAAAAUAGGCCCCAUCAUAAAUUUAUAAUUCCGUUCAAAAUCUACGGAACUCUUCUCGGCGACUAUUUGGACCACGCUCCAACACAAGCACUCUACCACACAAGUACUCCUCCUAACUAAGUCUCAUCUCAGAAAAUUCGAAUUUCGAAUUUUGAAUUUGCCCAAAAUAUCAUCCAACAACACAUUUCGAAAAUUCGUCAUUCGAAUUUCGAAUUUCCCAACCAAUUUCCAAACCAGCGUCCUCAACAACCGAAUGAAAUUCGAUUUUCGAAUUUCGAAUUCAACCCAACCCAAGUUUUCCCAAAACAUCAUCCAAAACCCAUUCAAAAUUCGAUUUCAAUUUCGAAUCCUCUAACCAAUUCCCAGAAUAUCAUCCAACAACCCAUUGAAAUCGAUUUCGAAUUUCGAAUUCUCAACCAGAAUUCCUAAAAGUAUCAUCCAGUAUCAACCCAUUCAAAAUUCGAUUCGAAUUCUCGAAUUCUCAACCAUUUCCCAAACAUCAUCCAACAACCUAUCGAUUCGAUUUCGCAUAUUUGAUAUCCCAACCAAAUUCUCAAAAUAUCAUUCAACUCAACUCAUUCAAAUUCGAUUGUCGAAUUUGAUUCUCUAACCACAUCCCAAAUACUUACAACUUAUCCAACAACUCAUCAUCGUUUCGAAUUCGAAUUUGAACUCCCAACCACCCCACCUCCAUAUAUAUCCUCACAACCAUCCAACAAAUAAUUCAAAAUUCGAAUUUCGAAUUUUGAGUAUUUCUUAAUAACUCCUCCCCUGCCCAUUAUUCAUAAAGUACGGGAACCGACAAUCAAUUCAAAGGAACUUUUUUUUUGAGAGAAGAGCUACUACAUAUAUAGAUGCUAGAAUACUUCAAGUUCAAAAUAAUUCAGGAAGGAGGCAGUGAUAUUGCCGGAGCUGCCGAAAGGAGGAGACGAUUGCCGGAGCCGCGGAUAAGGAGGAGAGAUCACUCGAGCCGCGGAAAGAAGGAGAAUCGCCAAGCCGCUGAAAGAAAGAGGAGAUCGUUGAGCCGCUUCAUUCGAAUCCAUCAACAGGUAGUAAAAAAAAAAAAAGAUAAAAAAAGAAAAAAAGAAAGAAAGUAAAAAUAAUAAUAAAACAAAAAAAGAUCUCUUUUCUUCCCCCUCUUUUUUUUUUUUCUUUUGUCCGACGAUCGUAGCCACCCAUAUCAUCUAGAUGGCUUCGGUGGGAGAGUGGAGGGGAAUCUUUGAUUCCCCGUUUCUUCGGACCUCUCAAUACCCCAUUCGAAGUCGUUGAUGAUGGAAUGGAUGAUCUACAUUGCUGCGACCAUCUCCAGCAUGUUUGGUUUGAUACUUUCGAAAGACGAGGGGAGGGGAAUCUUUGAUUCCCUGUUUCUUCGGACCCUUCAAUAUUUCUUCGAUAAAUAUCGAAUCAAAUUUGCUGGCCGAACAGAUCCAUGCCACUGUUAACAACUCCGUCGACGACAUCUACAAUCGCCGUUUUGAUCUUUUCGAAAAGAAGAGGGGAGGGGAAUCUUUGAUUCCCCGUUUCUUCGGACCCUUCAAAAUAUUUUGAAAAUAUUGAAUCAAAUUUGCUGACCGAACAGAUCCACGCCACCAUCCCCAACGACAUCUACAGCAUUGCCGGUUUGAUACUUUCGAAAGAAGAGGGGAGGGGAAUCUUUGAUUCCCCGUUUCUUCGGACCCUUCAAUACUUAUUCGAAAAUGUCAAAUCAAAUCCGAUGGCCGAACAGAUCCACGCCACCGUCAUCAACUUCGUCGACGUCAUCCGCAGCAUCGUAAGAAGAGGGGAGGGGAAUCUUUGAUUCCUCGUUUCUUCGGACCCCAAAUCAAAAUUAAAACGGGGAUUUCUUCGGACCCCAAAUCAGAACCAAAUGGGGAUUUCUUCGGACCCCAAACCAAAUCAAAUUUGAAGAUCAAAUUCAAAUUCAAAUCAAACGGGGAUUUCUUCGGACCCCAAAUUCAAUUGCAAAAUCAAUAGGGGAUUUCUUCGGACCCCAAAUCAAAUUGCAAAUCAAGUCUAUACACAAGCUUAAAACUGCAAAUUAAGUUCAUAUGCGAACCUAAACUGCAAAUCAAGUUCAUAUGCGAACCCAAAUUGCAAAUUAAGUUCAUAUGCGAAUCCAAAUUGCAAAUCAAGUCCACAUACAAAGCCAAACCUAACCAAACCAAGUCCAAAUAAACAUCCAACCCAAAACCAAAAAAAACCAAACCAAACCAAGUCCACAUACAAAGCCAAACCUAACCAAACCAAGUCCAAAUAAGUAUCCAAACCAAAAUCCAAAACCCAAAUAAAACCCAAAUCAAACCAAGUCCACAUACAAAGCCGAACGGCCCAAAGCUAACCAAACCAAGUCCAAAUAAACAUCAAACCCAAAACCAAAAAAACCCAAAGCAAAUCAAGACCACAAAUAAAAGCCAAACACAUUCCCCAAAUAAAACCAAAACCCAAACUCAAAUCAAACGCAAACCCAACCCAAAUCAAACCCAAAUAAAAUCCAAACCCAAGUCCACACAUAAAACCAAAACCCAACCCAAAUCAAGUCCACAAAUAAAAUCCGAGCCCAUUCCACACAUAAAACCAAAAUCCAAACCCAAAUAAAAUCCAAACCCAAGUCCACACAUAAAACCAAAACCCAAACCCAAAUAAAAUCCAAACCCAAGUCCACACAUAAAACCAAAACCCAAACCCAAAUAAAAUCCAAACCCAUUCCACACAUAAAACCAAACCCAGUUCAUGGACCAAAUCCCAUGAGCCAAAACCAAACCUCAUGGACCAAAUCCCAUGAGCCAAAACCAAACCUCAUGGACCAAAUCCCAUGAACCAAAACCAAACCCAGUUCAUGGACCAAAUCCCAUGAACCAAAACCCAGUUCAUGGACCAAAUCCGAUGAACCAAAACCAAACCCAGUUUAUGGACCAAAUCCCAUAAACCAAAACCCAGUUCAUGGACCAAAUCCCAUGAGCCAAUACCAAGUUCAUGGACCAAAUCCCAUGACCCAAAACCAAGUUCAUGAACCAAAUCCCAUGAACCGAAACCAAGUUCAUGGACCAAAUCCCAUGAACCAACCAAACCUCAUGGANNNNNNNNNNNNNNNNNNNNNNNNNUCAUGGACCAAAUCCCAUGAGCCAAAACCAAGUUCAUGGACCAAAUCCCAUGAGCCAAAACCAAGUUCAUGGACCAAAUCUCAUGAAACCAAAACCAGACCUCGUGGACCAAAUCCCAUGAGCCAAAACCAAACCUCAUGGACCAAAUUCCAUGAGCCAAAACCAAAUCCCAUGAACCACAACCCCACAAACCAUACACCAAACCUUAUGGACCAAAUCCCAUAAACCAUACAUCCAACCUAAUACCCAAAUCUCAUAAACCAAUACCCAAAUCCCAUGAACCAAUGCCCAGAUCUCAUACCCAUAUCUCAUGAACCAAUUAGACUCUAAUACAUAGAGUUUAAUAUCGAUUAGGUCUUAACACAUAUACUCAGGACCUAAUCAACCUCAAAUCCAACUGAAUCCUAAUACAUAUACUUAGGAUUCAAUAAACCGAGAUACGAUCCAUCUCAUCCAAUCUAUAAAGGUCUCUUAAUCGAAGGUGCCCCAAUCUCAAGGGGGUAAUUAACAGUAGAUGCUUGCAUCUAUUGGAAGCCAUGGACCCGCAAAAUCUGAUACCCACAUACAUAUAAAUAUCAAUCUGAAUCAUGAAUACUACCCCACGGCCCCGAAAAAUCCAUCGACCGUGCGAGGUGCGUCAUUCGUGGUGGCAGACAAUUUACUUGUAGAGCUCUAGGAAGCAGAACUGUAGCGGCAAAUAGAGCACCUUUCAUUCAUUUACUUUUGGUGCAAUCGAAAUCUAUUAAUGCUCAGCAAGAAUUCGGUGGAAUACAAAGCUGAACAUAGGAGUGGAAAUGGUAGUGUAAUGUUGUUUUAAGCUAGAUAAAAUUGACAUAGGUACUAGUAUUAAGUACAGGUAACAAAUAAAUUUACGCUCUUGAGUAAUUCUCUUCUUUUAGAGUCAUUAAGGAUAUAGCUUUUGUCGGAUAAAGUUUAGUUAAUCCUUUUUAAGUUGAUCUAGUUAACUGGACGGUUCAAUUUCACUUGGAGGAAUUAUUGUGCAAAAGGGUCAUAAUCAAAUCAGAAAGGGUAAUAACUUUUGAUCUGCAGCUAAUUUUGGUUGUGAAUCAUGUUGGAUGGUUAUUCCGCGCAUGUUGGUUGCGUUUUCAAAACUAAUCACAACUAAAUACUCCUCUCGCAGUCUCGACCAUAUCUGAUACGAGCACUUGCAAAUCGAGAUUUCGGAGCUCUACCCGAUCCUCGACUUGAAAUGAACUUCGAUGGAAACGAGAUGUACUGCAUGAUCGAAGCAGCAGCUGCAUGCAUUCGGCAUUCAGUUGCGAUGCGACCUCGAAUGGGACAGGUAAUUCUUAAGAAAGUGUUUUGUAACUUUACUGAUAAGUUUUUAAAAAAAUCUUACUUGAUGUACUCUGAUGUCCAGGUGGUGAGAGCUCUAGAUAGUUUAACCGACUCGGAUUUAACCAACGGAGUCAAGCCGGGUCAGAGCGAAGUAUUCUUAGAACCGCAAUCGGAAGAGAUUCAAAUGUUCCGGAUGAGGGAAUUUAACAGCCCCGACUACAGCUGCGAGACGAGCCAAUCUAGCUGGGGUCGUCUGAGAGAGUUGUAAACAGAUUCCCUUCAUCCUCAAGAACUUAUGUUCAUUAUAUUUUUUUCUUGUAAUUAGUUUUCUUUUCUUUUUUUUUUUUUCUCUUUACAUCAUUGGAAUAAUUCCCAUUCUUAGUUGUACAAAUCUUUAAUUAAAUGUUUAUUCCAAAAUUUUGGAAACCUUCUUCAUAUGUCUCGAGUUUUUUGUACUUUGAAACACAUUAUUUUGGCUUGACAAUUGGUAGAUUAGAAGUUGUUUCUUGUUGCAGUUAUUAAGACUAUUCCGGGCAGUUUUUUUGUGAGUGCACUUUGCGUAUGAGUGUGGGUGUUAAGAUUAUUUCUGAACUGUUCCCAUUACUUUUGGUUUUAGAAAUUUUGAUAUUUGCUUUGAUGUAUAUCGAUUUCUUUUCUUUUCUUUUUUUGGAUUUUUCUAUAUGAUAUCCUUUAAUUACUUCAAUUAUAAGAUGGUAUCUUAUCUUUCAUAAAUCUUGUUGACAAUAGGUUCUGCAAUUUAUUCUGCAGAGCUUUUGUAAGUUUAUGCUUAAUUGAUCUGUUCUUUUUUUUUUUUUUUUUUUUUUUUUUUUUUUUUUUUUUUUUUUUUUUUUUUUGGUGGGGUUUACUGGUAGCUUCAUAAUUAAACAUGUUUGCAGGAUUUUAGCCAGCAUACUUUGGUUAUGAUUCUGACAAAAUUAUUCUGAUUGUUGAUCUUUAAUCAGUGAAAGCUCCAAAGAGGGCUUAACAGUGAGACCUGUGUAAACUGCUAAUAAACGGUUGCAUCCGGAUCUGAGAUUUUUUGAUACGCUCAAGAUUUGACCGUGAAUUAAAUAAGAGAAAAAAUUUAUGCUUGGAAUUUAGUGGGAUUCGAACACAAGAUCAAUGAGAUAUUAAAUUAUGUGAAACAAUCGUUGUUCGUCAAAAGAUGCGUAAGUUACUGGCGAACAGUAAUAUUUGAACUCGAGACUUUUUAAUGGGCUCAAGAUGUGGCCUUGAAUUAAAUUAUAUAAGGAGUUUAGUAGGAUUCGAACAUACGUCCUUCUAUUUUGAUAAGAUAUUAACUUAUAUAAAACAAUCUAUUUUGAUAAGAUAUUAACUUAUAUAAAACAAUCGCUAUUCAUAAAAUAUUUAAGUUAUUAUAGAACCAUAUUUUUAACAUACAUGCUCUCUCUCUCUCCUUUUUCUAUUUUCAAGGGAUUGGGAAUCUUAUAAUGACAAAGGGCUGUUUCCAAGUGAAAAUCAUAAAUGCAAAACGCCCACUUCGGUUGGAACUCUCAAGUUCUAUGAGAUCCAAAUAACUAAACUCAGAUAGUUACACUGGACAUCCACUUCACUAAUAAACAGAAUAUCUGAAACAAACUCUAGACUCUUUCUCUUUCGUCUCCAUUACUUGUACACCCAAAAAUAGAAUAUAAAUCUUACGCCCACAAAAUCAAAAAAUUAUACUCUUUUUUAUAAAUUUCCGUGUGCGCACACGCAACGGAUUCAAUUUUAUACUUUCAAUCCAAAAUAUUUAAAUAAAUUUAAAAAAAUAGUACUCAAAUUGUGAGAGAAAAUUACACCAUUGAUACCUAGACUAUAUAUCAAUGAAAUUUCACAGGGGUACCUAAACUUUGAUAUAUGUCGGUAUUUGGAGGCGCGAAUUUUGUCUCUUUGUUUGCUAAGCGAUGGAACAUCGGUUGCCGACUCAAACGGAAAUCGGAGUAAGCACGCUCGAAAAAUUCGGCGGCGAAACACCCCACGUUACCGAGUUUAACAAUGCGUUAUCGGAUUCGGAAAUGAGAUUCGACAACGUCACAAAAAUCCGACCGGUCGAAUCCCCCGGACGGCGGCGUCCGCAUAGAACGGCUCCUGUAUAAUGGUGAAUCACCUAGAACGAGCCAUGGGUGCGGUGGUGGUGGAUGCGAUGAGCCUUCUCCUUCUCCCUCGAAGCUUCGCCGUUUCCCCCUCCUCCUCCUCCUCCUCCUCCUCCUCCCCUUCCUCCUCGCACCUGCGAUUCCUCUCCACGAAUCGCCUCGCUCCUCAUCUUAGGGCACCAUUUCUCAGGUUCUUACGCGCGCUCUCUCUCUUUCUCCACAAAUUUGAGACAUUGAUCCGAAUUUUUGGUGAUUUAUGCUCUGUUUUGAUGUUUUUCGAUUGAUUUGGUUCCCAGGUGGAAGAUAUCUAAUGGGGGGAGAGCGAUUAGAAGCGUGGUGUGUACGAGUGCGUUGAAUUCCUCGGAGAAUUACGACGCCGAUAGCAGCAAAUCGCCCUCGCAGGUUUCUUACUGCAACCAUUGUAAUUGAUUCUAGAUUGCUUAUGGUUGUUUUAUAGUUAGAUUCCAAGGGUCGCGGUAUCUGCUUGAGCAAAUUUUAUAUGCAUGUGAAUGUUGAUUAAUUAGUUGUGCUUGUUUUUGUAUAGUGAUAAACUCGUUUUGUCGUGUUAAAGGAAGCAGCUUUUGAUAUAAAGCUUCCCAGAGGAAGUUUCAUGGUUGAGUUCACAUGCGAUUCUUGUGGUGAAAGAACUAAGCACUUGAUAAACCGAGUGGACUACGUAAAGGGAACUGUGUUUCUCCAGGUAUGCUCUGCUGCUGAGCAUCUUCAACUCGUAUAUCUAUCUAUUUGCUGGUUGAUCUAAUUUCCAGUAGCAUCCACAGUUUCUUUUGCACCUCUGUAGUUGAGAGAAAAUAAAGUAGUCUAAAUUACUUUAACAUUUAAGGUUGACCAGGGAGGUAAUAGUUAUAGAUUUAUAUUUCAACUUUGGAUUGAAAUCAUCUAAGAUGAUAUUCUCUGUCGUCGAGUCUAGUGCAUAUGCAAGCAUCUAAUUCAGUCUUUGCUGAUCAGUUUACGUUUUUGGCUUACCGUCCUCCGAUGGUGUCAUCUUCUUUUUAUUCGUAUUGGGAUUCCUUCAUUGCGAUUUGCUGCAAUAUUUGACUAAUUGGCAAUAUUUUUACGGUUAUUUCAGUAAGUCUAGGCUAUACUAGAGAUGGUUUCGGCCGAAAUCUUUUCUUUUUUUAAAGCUCACUUCUAGAGCGUGUGAAUUGACAACCUAUUUUGUUGGAUAUGAUCUAGUCUAGAGAAUCUAAAGUUACUAUAAAUUGAAAUUCGUGAGUUUUGGAUGCUAUUUACCCAUACAUCAAAUGGAGACCAAAAUGAAUGGUGUGAAUUGAAUAAGAUUCGUAAAUAUUGUAUGCGAUUCCUCAAUUGAAAAUCUGGCCAUAUUUCUCGAUUGUAAAAAGGGAAAAAAAUCCUACAUUUGCAACUUAUUUGGAUCAUAUUUUACCGUCAAACUAAUCACCAUCUCAUUGCAAUCAUUUAAAUUGUUAAUUUUAAAACUGCUCAAUGCAUAGGCAAGAAACAUCGAUAAACCAUAAAUUUUGAUUUCUAGUACAUUAAAAUACAGUAGAUCCGAUUUGAGUGUCAGAAAUUUGAGUCCAAAUCCUCUUGAGUGUAGUUUAGGCUUUCUCUAUCUAUCUUCGGUAAUUUAAAUUUGUUGUGCUGAUUUAUUUCGCUGCUGAACUAUUUCUGUGAAUGUUUGAAGCAAGCAUUUUCAUACAUAGGUUAGCCAUUUUGAGGUUACACGUAUCUGGCCUGUCUAUUGUGCUAAAAUCUCAUCUGAACAGUGUGCAGGCUGUCUUGUCUACCACAAGUUUGUCGAUAACCUUGGGCUAGUGGAUGAGUACGAUCUGCGUGAGGAACAUGAUGUGGAUGAUGUGGAUUCCGAUGGCUUAGAUUGAUUUGGCUUCGACAUGCUAUUUGUCUGUUUUAUGCACAAUAUUUUUCCUCAAGUAAAAUACAAAACUGCUUUUCUACAUGCUUUAUCGCUUACAUUGUUCAAAGGAUACAAGUUGGGAAGAUGGAAUGCAGUUUUAGAGCAUAUUAUUAGAAGGCUUUCAGUGAGCAACUCGGUUUGGAAGGGCCACAAGGGAGAACGGAAGUGAUGCUACCGACAAACAUCAAGACGGUAUAUCCUAAUGUUCUGCAAAUUUCAACUGUUUCAUUUGAAUUAUUACUCAAACAUCUGGAGAAUAUAAUUUAUUCUUCUUUUCAAAUUUGAGACCUGUGAGGUUUCAAAUCUACAUUUUUCUCUCUUUAACAACUUUGUAUUCUCAGCCGUCGGCUUUCUAAAUUUUUGACAGUAUCACUCAUCAGAUAACUUCAUCUAUAUAUUUGGUUGCUAUUUUUUAUGUAAAUACGAAUUGUGCACUGCAAAGUAGUUGAAUUGAUUUAAUAAGACUCUUCUGGCUCAUAACAUCCACAGAGUGAUUACUUUUACUGGAUUAAGAAAAGUUUAUGGUUAUGCAUAAUACCUCAAAUUUCCAAGUUGGGUUUCAAAGUUUCAAUUAAAAAUUGAACUCAGUACUCAUAUGCGCAAUGCGUAGUUAUUAGUCAAGACCGUGGAAACUAUCUAGAAGAAUCUAGAUAUCUUCAUUGUCUAGCUUUUAACUCUCCCAAUUAGGUGGAACCCAUAUAUGAUUAUCAUGGUUCUCUUUAUAGUAUUUGAAGCACUGAUUUGAGUUAUUUCCUUUGUGUUCCAGAAAAAAUUGAGUAUAUUUAAGGAGGUGUGUUGAGAGCGAAAGGAAGUCGCCAAAUAUCUCAUCUUCCAUAAAGUUCCAUACAAUUUAUUGACACUGUUAAUAGCAAGAAUUUCUCUAGUGCUUCUUAAUAUCAGUGGCUCCAACUAAAUUUUCGUCGUCAUCUCUAUCUUACUUUUUCUGCUUCUCUACCUCAUCUUACCCAUCUUCGACAUUUUGUUCCUCAACUUUAUCUUCAUUUUUACCGUUUCUCUUUGCCUUGAGGAAAUCGAGGAGCCCUUGAAGUGCAGCAUCAGUGUCAUCACUCCUCAUCAGCUCCUCCGCCACUGCCGCCGGAGCUAUCUCGACUUCCGUUAUCAACCCUUCGAUCUCUGGGAACAAUUUGUGGUCAUUAAUGGCAUGGUAGUUGGAAGCCAACACCCUGAAUGCAUCGAUGCCACAGUAGCUCAUAUGUAUGUGCAUAUCCAUUCGUCCGGGUCUCAGCAGCGCGGGGUCGAGGCGCUCUUUGUAGUUUGUAGUGAAUACGAUGAUCCGCUCCUCCCCGCUUGUCGACCACAGCCCAUCAACAAAGUUGAGCAGACCAGAGAGCGUUACCUGUUCGAAACGAACAUGGUUAGCAUUGUCUUUUUCUGGUUUGUUAGGUUAUUAUCACAACGAGAUUAGGUUCAGGUAUCAAAACUAACCUUGUCGUUGUUUGAUGUAUUCUGAUCCUCGUUCUUGCCCUUUUGUUGGAUAUUGAUCGUGCAAUCAAUGUCCUCUAUGACGAGUAUUGAUUUGUUGGACAUACCAAUCAGUAAUUGUCGCAGGUCGUUGUUGCAUCUUAUUUCUGUGAGCUCCAAGUCAUAGAUAUCGAACUUGAGAUAAUUUGCCAUUGCAGCAAUUAAGCUCGACUUCCCAGUCCCAGGUGGCCCGUAAAGCAGGUACCCUCGCUUCCAAGCCUUGCCGAUUCUCUUGUAAUAGUCCUUCCUCUUCACAAACUUUGAAAGAUCAUCCAUCACCGCCUUCUUAAGCUCUGUGUCCAUUGCAAGCGUGUCGAAUGUUGAAGGGUGGUGCAAAUCUAUGGGGUACCAUGAAUCGUCGUCAUUCAUGUAGAGCUUGAGUGCUCUGUCCUCCUGCUUAAGUUCUUUUGCCCUUGCUAAUAUAAAUGGCAAGUAGGAGUAAAGUGCCUUUUCCUUGUGCUUCUUGUGGAAGCCGAGCUCGAAUGAUCGGACUUCGAUCUGCCGGAAAUUGCCAUUGCUCGAAGUGCCGCUGGAGGUUUCCCGGCAAACCAACUGCCAUUUGAAUUCGGUACCUUCAUACACGUCGACCAUCUCCUCCCCCUCCUCCAUACUGAUUAGCAUGCUCUUUGUUUCGUUUACCCUGCUCACCCUUAGCCUUCGCAUGUUAGUGUUGAUGCGGGUUGCUAGGUACAAUUUCGCAGCCUCAUAGAUUUGAUUGUUGGCGUACCCUUCGGUCUGUUCAAUCACGAUUGUGUGCUGCGAGGACAUGCAAGAGCGCAGAUCGUGGAUGCCGGAGAAGAUGAAGUCCCGCACUUCGUGGGGAACGAGCUCAUUGACCACCCCACGUAGGAGCAUAGCAGAGGCCGCGACAGAUGCGGCUGUGGUGACGGCCUUCUUGUAUGAUUCUAUGGCCUUUUCAUAUGAAGCCAUGGAGAUCUUCAGGAGCUCGAUGAGGAGGUGAGCAGAUUUGUAAUGCUUUUUGCUCCCUUUUUAGUUUGUUUUUCGCCUCACUCUUUUUGUCCUUUCUCUCUCUUGGGAUUUGAGGAGAUGAGUGUGUGUUCUGAUCUGUAAUGAUCUUGGAUGAGAAUAAAUAAGCAGAGGUUAGAUAGUGGGGGAGGACUUUGUCGUGGAGGAGUCAACUGUCGCUUUUGAACAUGUGAUAUCUACUAUUUCCUUGCAGUCCAAGUUUCCUGAUGUCUAAGAGGCAUUGUGAAUUGUGAUCUCCAAGCUUCCAAGAUGAUGCUUUGGCUAAAUUACAGAAACCCCUUGCACGUUAGCCCAUUUACUCGUCGACACAAAAGUUUACAUCAAUUUUAGUCUUACACUUGGUUGCUGCUUUAAAUAAGUCAUAAAUUUAGGAUGAUUGCGGAAUUUGAAUACAAACCCGGAAUGCGUUGCCAUAUUUUCUUGGAUUUUCAUCUGAACAUCUAUUUGAAGUUGAAGUCCAAAUUAUCAAAAUUGGUUGGUUUCGUGGAUAAUUUUGUUCCAUUUAUAUCAUUUUGUACUAUUACAUGUUACCUUCCUAAUCCAUGAACUCAUUUUUUCUAAUAGUCUUUGCAUUUGAAUUCAACAAUCAUUUCAAUUUUUAAGUGUAGGACCAGAACUGAUGCAACAUUUUAUGCAGGGUGUGGUUGAUGAAACGCGCUUAAGUAUGAGGUCUUCUCAGUAAUUUGCCUAGAAGCUUUUUGACACUUUGUCCACGUUGAGAUUCGUCGUUGUUGAAAGCUGAGUACACGUGGAGAGAAUAGUUGUGCCCUAUUUGGGUUAUUUUUAUUAACCAGAUAGUGUACUAUUGGGAAUAUUUUAAGUGAAUUUUGCUGGGUAAUUGAACUGGCCUGUGUGGAAUAAACUUGAAUCCGCGUCACCUUUUUUUGUUUGUGUUCGAAAUGAGAUGGAAAGCAGAUUCUUUAUUGGCUCUCUCUGAUAUCAUAUUAGCUGGUGUCUUACCUCUGUUCAAUACCGGCGAAGUUGAUUGACUUGAACUGCUUUUUUUGUCGGUGAGUAACAUUUUAUUGAUGUUCAUUUACAUUUGUUGUUUGAAAUGAGAUUGGAUUUGAUUUGUUCUAGUCCCUUCUUCUUCUUCUUUAUGUCUUGCUCGCAGGAGUAUAUCACUUGUGGUUGUGCGCUUUGGCGCUGACAAAAAUGGUAAACUGCUGCUGCUGGGCUUAGCUAUCGUUGAAAGGAGGAAUUCUAUUAUAUAUCAGUUAUACUACAUCAUCUAUUAAUAAUUAAUUAUUUUUUUAAUAAUCUAAUGGAACAAGUAAAUUCAAAAAAAUAAUUUGCUUGAUUGGUAAUAUCACAUCAGUAAUAUAUAUAUAUAUAUAUAUAUAUACAGAUGAUGAUGAUGAUGUCGGCAUUGAUGGUAGUGAUGGAUGACACCGAUGAUUGAUACUGAUGUGACAAUGUCUUAAUGAUGCUAGUGAUGGUUGGCAGUGGGUUGUCAAUAAUAAAAAGCAGCAAUUCUAAAAAAAAAUUUAUUAUGUCAUAUUUAUAUCACAUUAUCAAUAACAAAUUAAUUAUAUAUUUUUUUAAAAAUAUAAUUAAAAUAAUUUUUUAUAAUUAUGAUGAAAUAAAUAAAUUUAAAAAAAUUAUUUGAUUGGCUAAGAACACUACUUCACUAAUAUAAUUGGUGAAAUUUAAAAUUUUUCGUAACUCCGGUGGUAGUACAAUCAACCCUCCGUGGCUAGUCUUCAAGUCGACCAUUUAUUACGUGCAACGAUGGAAUCUUGAAAGCAGUGAUGGAAGGAACAUCGCGUCAUUAAUAUUCUCUAUUUUUUAAGAAAAGAAAAAAAAAGAUUUUUUUUUUCUCUAAAAAAAAAAUAAAUUACAGAAAAUUUUCCUGUCAAUAUCUAAUUUUUCACUUUUCUCCCUUAUCAUUUAAAAACCCUGCAUUUUGCUUCUUGAAAAAUGAGAAAUAUUCAUAGGGGUACACCGUGACAAAAUGACCAAAAUGCCUCUCACCAUCUUCAUCUUCUCCCCCAACCUCGCUCAGCCGUCGUCCCUCCUCUUUCGUUCUUCGCUCUUCGCUCAACCGCAGCUCCGACUCCAUUUUUCUUCACACGCUCCCCCGCUCUUCUGCACUCGCGUUGUCCCUCCAUUUCGGUGACGAUAA
rnacentral:lncRNA from 1 species